rnacentral:rRNA from 1 species
ACGAACGCUGGCGGCGUGCUUCACACAUGCAAGUCGAACGGAAAGGCCCUGCUUUUGUGGGGUGCUCGAGUGGCGAACGGGUGAGUAACACGUGAGUAACCUGCCCUUGACUUUGGGAUAACUUCAGGAAACUGGGGCUAAUACCGGAUAGGAGCUCCUGCUGCAUGGUGGGGGUUGGAAAGUUUCGGCGGUUGGGGAUGGACUCGCGGCUUAUCAGCUUGUUGGUGGGGUAGUGGCUUACCAAGGCUUUGACGGGUAGCCGGCCUGAGAGGGUGACCGGCCACAUUGGGACUGAGAUACGGCCCAGACUCCUACGGGAGGCAGCAGUGGGGAAUAUUGCACAAUGGGCGGAAGCCUGAUGCAGCAACGCCGCGUGCGGGAUGACGGCCUUCGGGUUGUAAACCGCUUUCGCCUGUGACGAAGUGUGAGUGACGGUAAUGGGUAAAGAAGCACCGGCUAACUACGUG